GUCACCUCGGUAUGUGACCAAGCCACAGGCUCCCCUAAGCAACGAACAUCACGGUUGCCUGUGAAAGGCAACAAGUGGUGACCCCCGAUGUGAUGCUUAGGGGAACGAGUCGGCUGUCUGCUUGAUGGGGCAGGAGCCCACCGCAGGGCGUUAGGACUUGCUGGGCGGUGGAAGCCCGGGGACAAGGCCGGGGACAGAGGGAAUCUGCAGUCACCCCUCUGUCGGUGGAGGUCGCGGACGAGCGACGAAUAUAGCCUCCGGGAUCACGCCGGAGAAGAGCCUGGGAUCCUGGUCUCAAUUGGGAGGAGGAUCGGAGGCGACAUGGAAACCAUCAUAAAGUUUCUUGCAGGGGCCGUGAGGAGACGGAGCCGCCAAUGACCGUUGGCAAGAUGGCGCCGGCUGAGCCGACCGCGCUCAGUUCAAAAGAAGACAAACAACAAGAGAGUGAAUGUUUGUUGUCUCGUCCCCCUCCCCCGUAUCCGAACCCCUCAGGCGGAACGUUGCAGUUCACUAAGGUGAACAGAAAUACUUUCAUUAACAGGGAUAAUUUUUCUGAGCUGCCAUGCAUCUUUAAUUCCCUUCCAACUCAGAGAUGCCAGAAUGACUUUUCAUCAUCCAAUCCACUCCACUGAAUUCCAAUGAUCGCUGCA
rnacentral:lncRNA from 1 species